CCAAAAACAACGGCCGAAAGGCCUUGCCCUAGGGGGGAAACCCCCGACGGUAAACCCUUUGUGAAAACCCUUUGUUUGCCUCGGCGGCACCUUUUAAUUAGGGGUCAGCCCGCCGACGGCACCAACCAAAACUCUUUGAAUUGAAGAAUCUAGUCUGAAUCAAUGGUCGAAUGACUAUA
rnacentral:misc_RNA from 1 species